GUAAAAAUGUUUUCGAGCUGUACUUCAUCCAAUUUAUAAUUGUCCUUCCAUGCAGUUUAAUAUUAUUUGUUUUACUUUUCCAAUUAAUAUUUUUUCAUUUAUUAAAUUGUUUAAAAUAAAUAUUUUUACAUUAAAUUUCGCAAAGAGCUCAAACCAAGACAUUUCUGUUUUGACAAAUGCAUAAUUUUAGGAUUACGCAUAGGUUCGCCGCACAUGCGCAUUCGCACAUAAAACUAAACUUGAGCAGAGACCACGCGGCAUCAACCGACCUGGACCUGUUCCUGCGCCAGAGAGAGACUGGUAGCAUCAUAUCCACAUUUUACGGAUUAUAUUCUGCUAGGAUAUCAUCACAUUCCUCUAUCAUCGGUGGAAAGAUCUCUUCAGCCACGACCUUAUCAUCGCUGCUGUUAAGGUAUCUGAUGAAUGUGGAGGUGCAAGGACUGUGACUAUUCAUGUACCAGAAGAUCUGAAUUGCUUAAGCAUUAUAGACUAGAUCAUCAACAUUAUGGAAGGCACCAUCCUUACCUCUGUCUAUAUGAAAACUGUCCAUUUUCAUGUAAAACAUGGAAUGCUUUAAAGAAGCAUCUUUCUACAAACCACUUUUCUCAGCAAUCCUCAACAGAAGAGAUCUCACAUUUGAAGUGCCACGUUUGUGGGUACUCGCAACUUUCUACUGAAACUGACUUUUUUCACCACAUUGGCCAACAUUUGAAGAAUAAUGAAUCAGUUCCUUGUAUGUAUGUUGAUUGUUCAUAUCAAACCAACAUAUAUGGAAGUUUUCACACUCACAAAUGGAGAAAACACAAAGUGUGUACAGUUGGAGAUUUAAAACCUGGAAUAGUUCACAGGUCAAUCGUCAAUCCCUCUGCUUUAGAUUCAAGUAACAGUGACACUGAGUUGAAUGAAGAUUUACUAUUUGAUGAACCAACUUUUGAAGAACCUAGAGAUUUGAC